rnacentral:tRNA from 1 species
GCCUGGGUGGCUCAGUCGGUUAAGUAACCGACUUCAGCUCAGGUCAUGAUCUCACAGCUUGUGAGUUCCAGUCCCAUCUCAGGCU